UCAUUCACUUUAUUUACAAUUAAAAUUAAUAAAAUAUAUGUUGAUAUCAUAAAAUCCCUAAAAAAUCAGAAUUUCCUUUUAUUCUCGGCUGAAGACGUCGUCUCCGUCGCAAACGAAGAAUCCCACUCGCUAACCCUAACUCGUAAGCAUUGCGUUUCUUUAAUCUGGUAAGUAAUGGGUUUGAUUGGGUUCUACCACUCUUUCUUUGGAAUUAGUUUGAUAGUUUAGGCAGAGUUACGCUACCAACAGGUGUUGUUAACUCUUGUUUCAUUAAUUCGAUUCGAAUCGUUUACUGGUUUGUGAUCUUCCUUCCUUGCUUUUUGAUAUAAUCAUGGAGAGCACAAAGGAUAGGGAUCUGUCUGGCAGAGUCUCCAUAAAACAACAAGUGCUUCCCUUUCUGUGUUCCACUUGCUUCAGUGUCAUUGGAUCAGUGAUUUUGAGCUUUGGAUUCUAAACUGUGAUUUGGGGAAAAGCAAGAGAGGAUUCAACCAGAACUGUAGCUGGCUAUCAGCAGUCACCUUUGUUGGUUGCACACACCAUAGAAGAUGAAGUCUCAUCAUUGAGUUGUGAUUGAUGCAAGUGGAGUACAUUGUACACUAAAAGAUAUGAUCCCCAGUAUUGUUUACGUAUAGCUGUAUUUGGUACAUUGAUUUUUAACUUAUAUUAUCAUUUAGUACAUCAAUACCUUGUAAAGAAGCUCUGCAACAUAAGCAAAAAUCAUUAGCAUUAUAGUGUAUAUAUCUAGUUCUUUGGUUA